rnacentral:rRNA from 1 species
UACGGGGGGAGCAAGCGUUGUUCGGAUUUACUGGGCGUAAAGGGCGCGUAGGCGGCCACCGCAAGUCGACUGUGAAAUCUCCGGGCUUAACUCGGAAAGGUCAGCCGAUACUGCGGGGCUAGAGUGCAGAAGGGGCAACUGGAAUUCUCGGUGUAGCGGGGAAAUGCGUAGAUAUCGAGAGGAACACCUGCGGCGAAGGCGGGUUGCUGGGCUGACACUGACGCUGAUUGUGCGAAAGCUAGGGGAGCGAACGGG